CAUUUCAUUUCAUUUUAUUUUAUCAUACGUCCUAUUACAACUAGCAUAGUUAGGGGUGAUUAUUGUUCAGAAGUUUAAAUUUUGAACUAAAUCAUAUUACUGUUGAAAAUACAAGCCCAUUGAACAUUUUAUGUUUAAAAUAGAUUUUCAUGUGUAGUCAACAGAAGACAUGAUUCUAGUUUUAACUCUAAACCUGUUCUGAAUAUAACUCCUUAUUUUCUUUGGAAUAAAUGCUCAAAUAGUUCAAACUUGGAAAAUUACACUUACAGAAAAAAAAAAAAAAAACUUUCCCGUCCUCCCGAGCAACCUACUGCCUCUAGUAGACUUAAACUGUGUUGAAACUUUGAUACAUUUCCAUAGGUUUUACAUAUAUAUCACAUAUACAUACAUAUAUAGGAUAUAUAUGUAUAUAUAUAUAUCAUACAAGCAAAUACACGUACAAUUUUAGAGCAUUUCCAUACACGCUAGCAUUGUACAUGGAAAUGUGAACUAGCUUCCUUUCUGACAAAGCAGUGUGACAGGAAGGGUACAAUCCGAAUUGCCUAUAUUAGAGUCUGGCUUGAGCGUUAGUACCCUCUGAAGGUAUCUUCCCUUUCCUCCUAUUAUUAGAAGGGCCUCCAGAUACAUAAAGGGUCUUCAAUAUGUCUCAAAAUCCCCUUGGAGCUUGUUAAGGACAGUCAGGUCUCAUUCAUUCCAAAGCUUUCAGUUUAGGUUAAGUGUGGGGAGACGUCUAAUGAGGUCCCUUAACAUGGUGACCAAUCAUUUGAGAACCUCACAGUAAAUGCUGCCCUAGAUUCCGCUGCAAGCCCCAGCAUUAGUGGUCUGUGCUCAGGGGUGGGAUAAUUGUCCUGGGAGAGACAACUGUCCUGGGAGCCAUCUAUGAUGACCAAGUAAGAGAACGCAAGAGCCUCGUCCACAGCAAAUGCCCGAGAAAUACAAGUUUAGAAAUAAAGCUAACGGGAAACGUAUAAAGCAGAAAACCCAGGACAGGCUGCCGUGGGCACAAGUUAGUUUUUAGAGCAAGCACCGGUCUCUACUGCAGCAGCCUCUGGAUAACCCUCUGCCCCCGACUCGAGGGGGAAAAAGGGGCGUUCCCAAGCCUGACGCGGGCCAGCCUCCCCUUCAAAGGCGGCGCAACAGCAGAAUGGCGGCGGAGUGCGGACGUGCCCGGCGCCGCGAAGGAAAUGGCGGAGGAGGCAAGGCGUGGCCGCAGCGCCGCGUCUGGCCACCAGGGGGCAGCCGCGCGUCUGAGUCCCGCAGCCGGCUGGAACCGGUCUAGCCGGAAGCUGGGCUGGGGCCUUCUCUUCCGCAGCGGCGUUCCCGAAUGCACUGGAGACCUCCGAGGAACCAAAACACUGCAUAAUGAUUUCCAGCCACCAUUAGCGCCGAGCGCUGCAGCGGAAUUUCGAAGGGCUUGAAUUCUGAAACACAAAGGACUGUAAUCUUUCCUCUCCUUGGCCUAAGGAAAGAAUACAGCUUUAUCCGUAUUCUUCUUCGUCCGCAUGGUUCAGACAGAAUCGCCGACAACUCUCUUUACAGUUGUUAGACAUGAACGGUUCUCUGACUUUAAAGUUUUGUCUCCAGAAUUUCGUUAGCAUAGACUUCCUGAUAUAAGACGUGUCUGUGACUUUUUAAUGAAAUAUUAUAGCAAAUUUAAAAGAAAAUUUAAAGAAGCCAUCUUCCAAUAAAUAGUUCAAAUAGCUUUUAGCCUUCAGCACAGAUUAGAUUUCUUUGGAAGAUAAACACUGCGUGUGGAAUCUGGUACCUCCUUUACUACCUUUCUUUUAAAAUGUUUCGGGACUGGGGAAUGUGGUUAAAUGAGAUCUUAGGAUCAAUCCUGAGCCCCCACAUAACCCUCUCCCAAAAAGCUUUAUUUCAAAUGCUGAAUAAAAGAACAUGAAAUCUACACCGAAAAAUAUCAUCUGGAAUGCCACUCGCUAGAAUAACCACCGGUAGACAAAUUGUCUAGUUGCUUACAUGAUGUACAUAUAGCUUUGUAGUCAACAUUUUGUACUGCCGCAUAAAAUGUACGUUUUCUUAUGUCAGUAAGAAUCUUCAAGAUUUAUAGUCGGGGUUGGUGGCACGUACACACAGUCCCAACACUUGGGAAGUGAAGGCAAGAGAAGUUCUCGGAGUUAGAGAUGAGCCUGGGCUUCAUUAUAGAAAUUCAGUCUUUAAAGGGGUGCAGGGUCAGCUGGUAAAGCACUUGCUGGCUGCGAGCCUGUUCACCCGAGUGCGAGCUCCAAACAGACCGUAUAGGUAGGAGAAAAGGAGAGCAUCCACUGUAUGAACUUGUUCGCAGACCUCCGGGCUCUUGCUAUGCCCACUCCUGCAUGCCCACUUAGUCCCAUAAAACUUAAAACAAAUGAUUUUUGAUUCUUCAAUAUUUUAGAAUCUACAUAGUGUUAUAACAGAUAAAUAUAAUGAACCAUUAGCCAUUCUUUUACUAACGGAUGCUGAUUUUUGUUUACUCUUUUUUUUUUUUUUUUUUUUGGACACUGCUGUACAAAAAGUGUUUCGUUGUUGAUUUUUUGGUGGUUUUGUUUAUUUUGAGGCAAAAUCUCAUUGCAAUGCCCUAGUUGACCUACAUAGAAUUCCCUGUAUAGGCCAGGCUGGUCUUGAAAUGACAGAAAUCUGCCUGCCUUUGCCUCCCUAGUGCUAGGAUUGCAGCUUAACACACCACACUGGACAGAAAGAGACAUUGUAUUGUUGUUGUUGUUGUUUCUAUAAACACAGUUCACAAUGUAUCUGACUUUUUUUUUUAAACUCUAAACAUUUUAAUUCCAAAUUGUACAGUUAAUUGUAUUGCAUCUAGAACCUUCCAGUUACAGUAUAUCAUUAACCCACUGUUUACUGCUCCAAAGGCAGCAGGACCUGGGAGAAAGAAGCCUAAAAAGGGGGUGGAUUAGAGUCUCAUGCACUAGCCGAUUUUAUUCAGAGUAUUCGACAAUUUAUAUUCCUAAGGGCUGAGAGAAAUCUCAUGAGUAAAGCAUAGAAUCACAAGGACAAGCUGCAUGAAGCAGACGCAGGCUUAUCCUUAGAGGCAUAUAAAGACACUAGCCCUGGUAAUGAAUGAUCUGAGGUGAACUCACUCCUAUCCACUGUACCUGGGAAAGACAUAAAAGCACAUUCCAAGAACAGUUCUGUGGUUUUGAAGAAACUGAGGUCAUAAGACCUUUUGUUUCCUUGGAGUUUUCUCAUAAGCACUCAGGGCUCUCCUCACAGGACUCUAUUGAUGGGCCAUGUUUUCAGCAACCCACCUAGGUCAAAUCUUAGCACUGGCUUUCCUUUAUCCUUCUAUGAGAUGCUCACUGUUUAUUCUGUUGUUCUCUUUACCAAAUGAAAGUCAUGAAUAUUCGAUAUCUUUCUAAGAAAUACAGGCUGGGGAUGUUAAUUUCAAGCUGAGUGUUUUGAAAGGACUGUUCACUGUCACCUUAAUAAUCACACAGAGACUCCUUUUCCUGUCAUUUCUACGUAUGGACGUGUGUAAAAGACAGUCGUUGCCACUGAAGUUUCCAAUCUGGAGAAAGGGGCAGGAAAGAUGGCUGUCUUCAAAGAUAGUUAAAGACCUGAAUAGUUCUGAAGUUUUCCUUCCAGGCACUUGUUUAUGGUGCUUGCCACAAUCUCCUUUUCUCUUUAAAAAUGAUUCAGAGAACACAGAGCUCCUGAAGAAUGAAACAAAGGCAUGAAUAAUAAAGAGCCAAUUGGCAGACAGUAUGUGGUCAUUUCAAAUCUAUUUGGGGAAUACAGUGCUCUCUCUUUUCCUUGGAAAAUAUCAAUUCUGAUCACUCAUUUUAUACUUUAUUUAUUUUUUUAUUUUAUUUUACGUAGAUGGUGUUUUAGGCAUGUGUAAGGGAGUCAGAUUCCCUGGAACAAAAGUUCUAGACAGUUGUGAGAUGCCAUGUGAGUGUUGGGAAUUAAACCUGGGACCUCUGAAAGAGCAGCCAUUACUCUUUUUUUUUUUUUCUUUUUUUUUUUUUCGGAGCUGGGGACCGAACCCAGGACCUUGCGCUUGCUUGCUCUACCACUGAGCCAAAUCCCCAACCCCAGCAGCCAUCACUCUUAACCUCUGAGCCAUCUCUCCAACCCCCAUCACUCUUUUUAAAUGGAGCAUUUAUUUGUUUGUUUAAUUUUUUUCUAUUUUAUUAUUUUAAUGAUUUUUUUUUCAAGACAGGAUUUCUCUGUUUUGACUGUCCUGGACCUCCCUCUGUAGUCCAGGCUGGCAUCGAACUCAGAGAUCUGCCAGCC